GACGAACGCUGGCGGCGUGCUUAGCACAUGCAAGUCGAACGAAGAGCGACGGAAGCUUGCUUCUAUCAAUCUUAGUGGCGAACGGGUGAGUAACGCGUAAUCAACCUGCCCUUCAGAGGGGGACAACAGUUGGAAACGACUGCUAAUACCGCAUACGAUCUAACCUCGGCAUCGAGGAUAGAUGAAAGGUGGCCUCUACAUGUAAGCUAUCACUGAAGGAGGGGAUUGCGUCUGAUUAGCUAGUUGGAGGGGUAACGGCCCACCAAGGCGAUGAUCAGUAGCCGGUCUGAGAGGAUGAACGGCCACAUUGGGACUGAGACACGGCCCAGACUCCUACGGGAGGCAGCAGUGGGGAAUCUUCCGCAAUGGACGAAAGUCUGACGGAGCAACGCCGCGUGAGUGAUGACGGCCUUCGGGUUGUAAAGCUCUGUUAAUCGGGACGAAAGGCCUUCUUGCGAAUAGUGAGAAGGAUUGACGGUACCGGAAUAGAAAGCCACGGCUAACUACGUG
rnacentral:rRNA from 1 species